CAUGGAGGGUGAGAAUCCCGUUCAUGGUUAAUCUUAAGGAAGCUCUACGAUACGUUUUCCAAGAGUCGAGUUGUUUGGGAUUGCAGCUCAAAAUGGGAGGUAAAUUUCUCCUAAGGCUAAAUAUUGGCGAGAGACCGAUAGCGAACAAGUACCGUGAGGGAAAGAUGAAAAGGACUUUGAAAAGAGAGUUAAACAGUACGUGAAAUUGUUGAAAGGGAAACGAUUGAAGUCAGUCACACCAACGGGAAAUCAACCUUUUGAGCUCGGUCUCGUGGGUUUUGAAGAGUUUCAAAGCCUUCGGAUUCGCGAGUUUGGGAUCUCUUGGUGUACUUUUUCGUACGGUUAGUCAACAUCGGUUUUGAAUGUCAUAAAAUGACUGGAGGAAUGUAGCUUUGAUCUCGUAUUGAAGUGUUAUAGCCUUUGGUAGAUGUGAUGUUUGAGACCGAGGAUUGCAACGGAUACCCUUCAGGGCUAUUCGUCUGAUCUCUGAUACGUUGCUCUGAUGUUGAAAGCUUGCUUAUGAUGUUAGGGUAUUACGGUCAAAAGGUUAGAACGAAUUACAUUCGUUAAGGAUGUUGACGUAAUGG
rnacentral:rRNA from 1 species